GGGUGCCUGUUGUAACGGCAGCAUGCGGGAUUCCAAAUCCUUGCGGACGAGGUUCGAAUCCUUGGGUGCCCGCCA
rnacentral:tRNA from 1 species